GUUCUGUGCACCUGGAGUACUGUGGUGUUCCUACAGAGGCAGCUUAUGUGAGGUCACCAGAAAGGAGGCACUUGCUGGUUUCGUUUUUGCACUGAAUGUAGCCAGGACGGAUCCUUGUGGGCUUUGGCAGCCCUUGGAAACUGUCAAAGGCAGUAUUUUGCAUUUCUGCAGAGUUUUGCACAGAUCCUGGUCCCAUGCAAACUGAUGAGGGAGAAAUACUGGAGGAAGGCAGUCCCAAGGUCAGUGAGAUGGAACAUGAGGAUUUUGUAAUGGAAGGGCAUGGCAAGACUCCACCUCCUGGUGAAGAAAACAAACA